GACCUCGAAUCAGGUAGGAC
rnacentral:rRNA from 1 species